rnacentral:rRNA from 1 species
CAAUAGCGUAUAUUAAAGUUGUUGCGGUUAAAAGCUCGUAGUUGGAUUUCUGUCGAGGACAGCCGGUCCACACUUUGUGUGAGUAUCUGGUUUGGCCUUGGCAUCCUCUUGAAAACAGCUCUGCGCUUGAUUGCGUGGACUGGAGUUCAAGACUUUUACUUUGAGGAAAUUAGAGUGUUCACGGCAGGCAAACGCCUUGAAUAUAUUAGCAUGGAAUAAUAAGAUAGGACCUCGGUUCUAUUUUGUUGGUUUCUAGAGCUGAGGUAAUGAUUAAUAGGGAUAGUUGGGGGCGGAUUCGUUAUUUAACUUAGUCAGAGGUGGAAAUUACUUUGGUAGUUUGUUUAAAGAACGGACUACUGCGAAAGACAUUUGUCCAACGGAAGUGUUUUC